UCCAUCUUGUCUUUCUCCUCCCCGUUGCCCUUAGCAACAAAUGUAUCCAGCCCUCAGUCCCUCCCUGGUUCCCUGUCCCUCACUCGGUGGCCCAACCCUUCUAUCCAGAACCUUCCAUCCUAGGCAUCGAGUGAUUGGAUCAGGGGCCAGGGCUCCUCCCUUGGUCUUCCCCCAUUGGAUACCCUACACUGUCUGUUAUCCUCUCUACACUCCUACCUUAUUUCUGAUUUGCUGCUCUGUCUAUACCCACCUUCCCUUAUAAACCCAUGUCGGGACUCAGUCUUUGUGUUCAGAUGUGGGUUCUGCGUGGAGUGCCUCUGGACUGUAUCCCAGCUGGAGUCCGGCUCUUUUCUACCUCCUGCUGGACUGCAGUUCUCUCUCCCCUUCAGAAUUCUCGUCCCGCAAGGCUAAAGCCUUAGGCGCUUUCUAGACCCGGCCCGGGAUCAGGAGAGUGCCCCUGUGCUGCUGGCGGUGCUGGCCGCAGCUAGCUGGGAUUCACCUUCGAGGUCAGCUGCUGCUGCAGUGCAAUACCAUGGAAGAGGACCAGGAUCACAGGAAAGACUGGCUGCUAGUUGUCUUUUUCCACAUGAAGUGAAGUUAGCCUCCAUGUUCUGUCAAGACACCUUCCCCUGAUUUUGAUAUGGACGUGGAGAAAGUAAAAAUACUACUUUUAAACAAAAAAAAACAUAUUUCAAGACAGCUAACGUCAGGUAAGAGGAAGAGUUGAAGGUGUGAUGGUGAGAACAGCUUCAAGAGUGUGGACUCUUCCUUCCCACAGAAAGAGAAGAUAGGGCCUCCGUAUGCUGAAACACAGUCUGUGAAAGCAGAUUAGCUCUGUCUGUUUCAGGAAAAGCUGGGCAGGAAAAGAAAAGGUGUCUGCUCUGAAGGUUAUGUGGUUCAACUGGAGAAGAUCCCUCUGGGAAGAGAUGGCUCUUUCCCUAGCUGUGUUCAUUUCUGCCUUGGCAUUAUUAGAACUAUCAACAAACAGGGAGCAAAACACCUCCACAAAAUAUGAAGAGAAGAAAUCACACUGCCUGAAGCUGAAGAAAAGUCCCCAAAUCCACUUACAUCUAAGGUAUUUCAGCCCUAUGACAUAGCAUGGAAUGCAGGGUUUUUCCAAGGUAUUAGAGCUACCAACAAAUAUGUAGGCAAGAUUGUACUUAGUAGUGGAAUAUGUCCUACAUCCUAAGAUGUUUCUUUAUAACAUCUCCAAACAUGCCCAGAAGACUUCUCAGGUUUUCAGUGAAAAAAAAUGUAUUUGUUCUUGGAGGGACAGACUGUGAUACAUAUUACCUUGCAAGCACUUUUGGAAACAGUGGUUUUAUAAGCCAUAUAGAAUUGUUGUGAUUCAGAAUGCCAGGGGGUAAACUAAAACAAAAACAAAGUUUUAGUUUUUUUGAGGAAAAACAAAAAACCCAGAAACAAAACCCCUAAACCACUAUCAAAACCCAACAAACUAGCAAAAAAAUCCUCACAAAGAAAAACAAACCCAUAAACAAAGAAAACCAAACCAAAUCAAAACCAAAACCAAAACAAAAACCAAGUCACACAUUCCACACAUUUCGGUUCCAAGCUGCUAAGAAUUCAUAACAUUUUCACUCUGAGACCAAUGAGAGUUUGUGUUCUUAAGAACAUAUGAGCAACAUUCAGAGCUUCAGAAAUCAAUAGAUGCAUCCUAAAAUGGAGAAAAGGGUUAUGUUAUGCUUUUAUAUUUUAUAUACAUUUUCUGAGUCUCCAAGAAAUCACCAUGCUCUCCAUGUAAAGCACGUAUUUUUUGCAUCCAAUAUACACUAUCAUUCACCCCUAUCAGGAACCAUAUAGAAAAUAACACCUUCUUGUUUCCACUUCUCCUUUCCUACACAGCAAAAUGAAUUUAGAGCAGGCCCCAUUUCGCUUUGAAAGUACCCUUGCAAUAUUCUCUUAGCCUGUCAAGGCAAUAGUUUACCUGAUUCCAUGUCAUAUGUUCACCUUUCUGACUUCUUCUCUAUGUCCUCUCAGGACAUUCUAAGGAACAUAUUGCUUCCACUGUUCUUGAGCAUUCUUGUAGAUAAAGUCCACAUUUACAAUGAAACACAGCAUAACUACUGCAUCUGCUUCACACAAGCUUAAGAAAAACCUCCCAUUAAGCAUGUUUCUGAAUUUCUGCAGUCUCUGAUUUCUUUGCUCAUUAUUUUUUAGAAAUUCACAAAGCAAAGAGAAAAUCUUAAGUGCUCUUCACAUUAUCACUUAGACAUUCUGACUUUCUCAAGUCCAAAUCCAACAUAUUCUGCAAAAAUACAGUACAACCCAGAAAGAAAGUCUGCAUCUUUGAGAGUGCUUCCAUCCUUAUACAUAGACCUUGAAUUUCCAUUCAUGCAUGAAUGUGAAGUAUUCAUUUUUUUUUCUCAGAGUAAAAAAUUAGAUAAAACAAACCUGCAGUGACAGUGACAAAUUCAAAAUAUUUCCUAAUGGGGAUAACCAACAUAAAGUAGACAGGUUCUCAUUUAUAAAAAUAAAUAAAUAAAUAUUGGCUUGUCAUGGGUAGAUUUUAUGGACACCCAUUGAAUCACCUUCCAAUCAAAAAAAAAAAACCCAUCCUUCCUGGCAUUCCAUAAAAGAGAGGUUUCUAAAUUAUUUCAGUUCACUUGUCCCUCAAGAAGCAACACUUUCUGCCUUGGGAUUUAUGUAUUAUAACCACUGAAUUAAGAGAAUCAAACUUUUUAUGUUUUCCAUGCAUUCUUUUUUCUAACCUGGACAUCAAAACUCCUUUUUAAUGCCGUAAAAACAUCCAUUAACAAAGCAGAAGGACUUUAUUCUCCCAUUAUGGAGAUUUCUGUGAGAACUGCAUCACUAAAUUAUUAUUCUAUAUUUAUACCUGUUGAGAAGGUCAAGAUAGGAAGAUGUCAGGAAAAAAUUUGAGAAGAAAACAGAGGUUUAAUACAUAUUAUUUAGAGGGGGAAAAAGUAUAUGAAUGGAGAAAAGAAAUAGAGGAAAAUACAAGUUACCAAGGUCCAAAUGUAGACUGAACUUUCAGAAUGCAGAUCUAUGACAUUUCCAGCUUUGUGGGACAUAAGGACUAAAAUAUAGCAACAAAUAAUAUGUAUUUUCUUAUACAUGAAAUAAUCUGUCAUCAUUCUUCACUUUAUUUUACAAUCAAGAAGUACACUCUAUCUUAAAGUUCAGAAAAUCUGUUUUGUCUAGUUAUAACUGCUAUGAGAAAUAAAAGAUUUUUAAAGUCACAGUCACUGACCAUAAAUGCUGAAAGGUGUGUGGUAAGCUUCAAAUGCUCGUAAAUAUUUGCCUUUUCUUUUAGCCAGGUAGUCAUAGCAGCGCUCAUGAUAAAAGCUGGUAUAUCUAGUCUUGUUACACAGAUUCAGGUUUUUUUGCAAUAGGAACUUUCCAGGCACUGGUACUUCAGAGGCCAGCCAGCCUGUAUUAGCAGAUAGCACUGUGAAGCUGCAGGCUAGGUAGAAUCAGAGUAAUGACUCCUAUGAUUGGCACUGUUAAUGACUUUUCCCCUGAGUUCUUGCUCUGGCUAGUAUUUACUAUUUUUCCCUGUCUUCUCUGUCUUUUUGCAUUUUACACUGCAUCAGUAAACAAAAAAAUUCAAAUUGCAGAACACUACUUUUGAUCUAACAAAUUUCUCUAUAAUUUCUUUAUGAAUCCAUGGAAUUCAUUUUCCUAGUAAGCCUGCCAACUACACAAAGAAUGUCUUGAUGUUGGACUAGAGGUAAUAUAUGAAGACUAAACUCCAUCGGAAAGCAAAGAACUUAAUUAUUUUUUCCUUUGCUUUUAACAAACAACCACUUAGGCAAAAUAAAAAGUCUAGAGAUAUUAGUUCCUCUCUAGCAAUGAAGGUAUACAGUCAGUUUGUGCUUGAAUGUUACUGAACUCCUUCUGAAAUUACUACAGCUAUGUAUAUUAAAGGUGGAGUGUCAUUAAAAGUGGCUAUCCAUUUUAUCUACUUCUAGCUUGCAUAGGUGUUCAAUCUAAUCUUGUUAUCUAACCAAUGUGCACAGUCAGUAGGAGUUAAACACAGAGGAGGAGUCCUGUGUAAGUGUCUGAAUAGCUAGAGAUGCCUCACUUUGUCAAAUGACAAAAGAGAAAAUAAAUUAAAUAGCUUGACCAGAUUCCAAAUCUUAGACAACUAAAGUGAAUCUCGCACUGAAUAUCUACACUAAACAAGAAAAAUUCCAUUGUAGUAAGUAUCAAUGUUUCUGUGACCAAAUUUGCUUUAAUUUAGUGAGAGUUUUUUUCCCUCUCCCACAUACUUUAGAAGAUGAAAAUAAUCACUUUUAUUAUACUGUACACCUUAUGUUUCAACCAUUGCUUCUUAUAACAAUAGUAAUGUUAUACAGAGAGUCUGUUUUGAGAAUUGUCUUUCUUUUUUUACUGAAAAAGUUGGAUUCUGCCUUAGCCAUUCAAACUCUUUUGUUACUCACUGAUCUUAUUCACAUAUUAGGUAGGACUUUGGAAAAGCCCAGCAUUACAGUUCAGAACUGCAGAGAUAAGUCUGGAGACUUUGAAGAUUUAAAGACUUUAAAAAUAUGGUCUGGUGACUCCUUUCCAGAGUCCACUGGGGUCACUGUAAAUUUUUGCAUGUAUUUCAAAAGCCUUUGGAUCAAAUCACACUCACUCCACCUCUCAUAUAGAUAACUAUGCUUGUUUCAAAAAAAAGUUUGUAAUAUCAGAUUUGAAGGAAAUUUUAAAUUGACCACACAGAGAUACUAAUGUCUCCAGACUGCCCACUCAAACUGAGAAUAUAUGAGCUCCACCAUGUUUCUGUAACGAAACUGGCUUUCUUAUUUCAUGGUAGAAAGAAAUGUAUGUUUAACAUUCUGCAGAUGUCUAUGCAACGCAUAUCUGCAGCCAGAAUGAAUAAUUCUAAAAGGCUGGUGUUUGAACACAUGCUACAGCCCAGCAGAAUUAAAGGUGAAAGUUCAAGUACUGCAAUUUCAAACUAUUGAUCAAUGGUAAUUUUUGACACCCCUGGGUUAGUGAUGCUGGCAUAUGGCAAACAAGCAAACCACGAAGGUUAAGUAUGAAUCAUCAGUACAAACGUAAUUCACCUUCUUCAGUUUUCUUAGAUUUAAAAAACUUUUGCUGUUAGGUGUUUUCUCCUGCACAAUUCUGUGCAUUGCAGCAAGGCAUAUCUUGUAGACCAGGUCUUCUGAGCACAUCAAAUCAGAGAGAAUGUUGAGAAAGAAAGCUGCUUGUCUGUUCUUACCGAUUUGUCAGAUAACCUGAAAAAAUAAUUAUUUAUGUAUUACCACUAUGCUUUAUUACAUCAGGGAUGGCUCAAAUUUUCUCUCAUUUAUCUUUACACUUUCAAAAUUGUCAUAAAAAGAUUCCUUUGUCCUGCAGUUCUUUUGUUUAUUACACUAGAAGGUACAGAAAGGAUAAUCUGUCUCUUAAUGUGCUUACAUACUAGAUCUUGUUUAACUAAACAUAAUUUGGUUAAUACUCAUUGAACAAGGAUAUUCAGUCUUAUACUGAGUGCUUCUAUGUCAUUAUCAUUCAGCAUUGAUUUAUUCACUAGGAUGACAUUUAGGAACACUCCUUUCUGCACAUUCCUGUCCUUUUGAACAGUAUAUAAGAUCUGGAUUGGACUCGGUAAGAAUUUCAAGCAUAAUUCACCUUUGUCAAAAUUAUAGGAGAGAAAAAAAUAUUUUGCUUUCUUACAGUAUCUCUGUAAUGUUAUUAAAAGUUCUAGUUUUAUUCACUUUGUACUCUAAUUAUCUAUAUGUAUAGUAAGACCGUUGCUGAUCUGUAUGAAAAAAUACAGGUAUACCAUUCAUUUUGUAAGAACAUAGCCAGUAAUAAAGUAUUGUCAAUGCUAUUAACCGGCUGUAAGCUUUGUACUUAAUUUACACAGUUCCAGGACUGUGAUUUGUUAGACUUUCUCUGCCCGCAACUUUGUUUUUAUUUGGUUUACCUGCAACUGUAGUUCCUCUGAAUGAGCAAGUGUCUAGGCCUCAUUUGUUUUACUUUUGUUUAUCUUUGUAUUGUAGAAUUGUAGAAUCAUAAUACAAUUUUUAUGCACAUAGCAGCAGCAAGCAGUUAUUUCAUGUAUAGUGAGGUGUUUAUGAGUCUUACAUGGUAUUCUAGUAUAGAGAAAUACAGACCUGGAUAUCAGGAGAGUUAAGAAGAAGAGACAGAGGAUGGAGCACUGAGAAGUGCAAACACAGGAUGGUAAGAGAUGGGCAGUCUGGCCCCAGAGGCCAAAAAUCAUAAACUACUCAGCCUCAGUCAUUGAAAGAAAUGCAGAUCUGGAACUGCACAGAACUGCAUUUAGUAAUUACAAGCAGAACACAAGACUGAUGUCAAACACACUGGAGUUCACUACUCAUGGCACAGCUGGAUUCCACCUGGAGCUUCAGAAUAAGGAAGAAAGAGUAAUGUGUGAAAGUGUGCAGGCAAGCACACAAAAAUGACCCCUAGUGAAUCCUAGAGUCAGGAAGGAACCAUCAGCAAGAACUCCACAUUCCUCCUGUUGAUGAAAGACUCCGGAUGCCAAUGACUAACUUUAAAAUCCCACAGCUAGAAUUAAACCUCCAACCUCACAGCCCAGAGAAGAAGGGUGAGCUCAUCAGGAAAAGAUACAAAAACUAAAUGCAUGUAUAACAGUUGAAGCACAUUAUUAGUGUUUCUUUACACAAUAACACUUCAGUCUAGACUAAAAAUUAAUAGAGUCUAAAGAUUUCCAUUAUAUGAGCAAUAAAUUAUUUUCAUUCUUUAAAUAUACAUCAGGUCUUUUCCUAUAAACAAAUUUGGAGCAUAAAAGCUUGUGGCUAAACAAUGCCCUGAAGAUAUUACCUUACUACUCAUGAUUAACAAAAGAAUAAUAGGACAUACAUACAUCAGUUAUAUGAUUUGGUUUCUAGAAAGUUAAUUUCACCUUAGAGACAUUUUAGUGAUGAUUUCAUAAUUUUUUCACUUGUUUUGCAAUCAUCAUGCUUUAGAGGAAAGAUGUGCUGUCACAUCAUAAACAUACAAAUUGAAUUUGAGAAAAAAAAUACCUUUAAACAUAUAUUGCAUGGCUUUAUUUCAGUCUCAAAUGAAAAUAGGAACUUUUCCUUUUACCUAAACAAGAAACAUAUAUAGCUUAUAAUUACAAAGUAAAAGAAGAGAGUUUAAUAUGUGUCUAAGAGAAUUUUCAGCUGCAAUUUAUAUUUGAAAUCUCCUCUGGAAGUUUUAGGGCAGUUUUGGGGGGGGUUAUUCUGGUUUUCUUUAAGGAAUUUUAUGUUACAUCAGCAAAGAAGAGUUAUUGACUAAAGCUGCAAGGAAGAAUUAUUGACUAAAGCUGCAAAUGAAAUCUGGGUUAAAAAAA